rnacentral:rRNA from 1 species
CAAUAGCGUAUAUUAAAGUUGUUGCAGUUAAAAAGCUCGUAGUUGGAUUUCUGGUUGAAGCGACCGGUCGGGCGUUGAUUCGUCUGCAAUGGAGUCGGUUUUGGCCAUCCUCUAGGAAAGUGCGUCUGGUAUUAAGUUAUCGGGCGUAUGAUCCUGGUCUUUUACUGUGAAAAAAUUAGAGUGUUUAAAGCAGGCCUUCGCCUUGAAUACAUUAGCAUGGAAUAAUAAGAUAGGACUUUGGUCUAUUUUGUUGGUUUGCAGACCGAAGUAAUGAUUAAUAGGGAUAGUUGGGGGUAUUUAUAUUCCGAUGUCAGAGGUGAAAUUCUUAGAUUUUCGGAAGAUAAACUUAUGCGAAAGCAUUUACCAAGGAUGUUUUCAUUAA